AGCGAACGCUGGCGGCAGGCUUAACACAUGCAAGUCGAGCGGGCACUUCGGGGUCUGCGGCGGACGGGGGUGUCACGCGUGGGAACGUGCCUUCUGGUCUGGCAUACCUCUGGGACACUAGGGCUAAUACCGGAUACGCCCUUUUGGGGAAAGGUUUACUGCCGGACGAUCGGCCCUCGUCUGAUUAGCUAGUUGGUGGGGUAACGGCCGACCAAGGCGACGAUCAGUAGCUGGUCUGAGAGGAUGAUCAGCCACACUGGGACUGGGACACGGCCCAGACUCCUACGGGAGGCAGCAGUGGGGAAUAUUGGACAAUGGGCGCAAGCCUGAUCCAGCCAUGCCGCGGGAGUGAUGAAGGCCUUAGGGUUGUAAAGCUCUUUUAUCCGGGACGAUAAUGACGGUACCGGAGGAAUAAGCCCCGGCUAACUUCGUG
rnacentral:rRNA from 1 species